rnacentral:rRNA from 1 species
CCUACGGGGGGAGCAGUGGGGAAUAUUGGACAAUGGGCGAAAGCCUGAUCCAGCCAUGCCGCGUGUGUGAAGAAGGCCUUCGGGUUGUAAAGCACUUUCAGUGGGGAAGAAAGCCUUGGGGCUAAUACCCUCGAGGAAGGACAUCACCCACAGAAGAAGCACCGGCUAACUCCGUGCCAGCAGCCGCGGUAAUACGGAGGGUGCGAGCGUUAAUCGGAAUUACUGGGCGUAAAGCGCGCGUAGGCGGUCUGAUAAGCCGGUUGUGAAAGCCCCGGGCUCAACCUGGGAACGGCAUCCGGAACUGUCAGACUAGAGUGCAGGAGAGGAAGGUAGAAUUCCCGGUGUAGCAGUGAAAUGCGUAGAGAUCGGGAGGAAUACCAGUGGCGAAGGCGGCCUUCUGGACUGACACUGACGCUGAGGUGCGAAAGCGUGGGUAGCAAACAGGAUUAGAUACCCUGGUAGUC